UCCUUGAUGGUCUAAUGGUUAUGAUUUCCGCUUGUCACGCGGGAGACCGGGGUUCGAUUCCCCGUCAGGGAG
rnacentral:tRNA from 2 species